UCCAAUCCAAGUGCCAAAGGUCACGCCAUAGUUAGCAUCUACGUAACACACAUGUGAUUCAGAGUCGCUUGAUGCUAUAUAUAUAUAUAUAUAUAUAUAUAUAUAUAUUACACACACACAAUGAGAAAUGGCUUUUUAGAGUUUAUCGAGUUCACUUCAUAAUGUUUCUAACUAGAUUCCAUCAGAAAUGAAGAUGGUUUAAACAAGCGUGACUGUUGCAACUUUUCUCCUUUUUUCUACAGCAAAUGACAUCUGCAGUAAGAGCAUUAGGGACUGUAGGGGUUAGAGUGUAGAGGGGGCAGGUAGCCUAGUGGUUAGAGUGUAGGGGCGGCAGGUAGCCUAGUGGUUAGAGUGUAGGGGCGGCAGGUAGCCUAGUGGUUAGAGUGUAGGGGGGGCAGGUAGCCUAGUGGUUAGAGUGUAGGGGCGGCAGGUAGCCUAGUGGUUAGAGUGUAGGGGCGGCAGGUAGCCUAGUGGUUAGAGUGUAGGGGCGGCAGGUAGCCUAGUGGUUAGAGUGUAGGGGCGGCAGGUAGUCUAGUGGUUAGAGUGUAGAGGCGGCAGGUAGCCUAGUGGUUAGAGUGUGGGGGCGGCAGGUAGCCUAGUGGUUAGAGUGUAGAGGUGGCAGGUAGACUAGUGGUUAGAGUGUAGAGGUGGCAGGUAGACUAGUGGUUAGAGUGUAGGGACGGCAGGUUCCUGUCGGCACAACAUACAACGAAUCCAUUUCAGUGGUUAGCAAGUUGGGCAAGUAACCGAAAGGUUGCUAGAUCGAAUUCCGAGCUGACAAUGUCAAAAUCUGUCUUUCUCCCCCUGAACAAGGCAGUUAACCCAC
ensembl:lncRNA